GAUUCAGUGCCACUAAGGCACCGCGCAUGCGCGAUUAUUUCUCUCUUGCUUUUGCAGUCCGAGCACGGAACGUCACCUUCUUGAACUAAAGAAAAUAUUCGAUAUAACUACACAUUUAUAACUUCUAGAAUCUAUAUCUAUCUAUAUCUAUCGUGAUAUAUUUUCUACUUCUUAACUUUACGUCUCUUAUAUUGCGCAUCAAGAAGAUAUUUUAUUUUGUUUCAACAUGAGAAGAGCUUCGAUUGGUUUUUUAUACGGAUAGAAGAUUUCAGUGGAUUCCAGACGAGCUAAGAUGGCGAGCCUGUCCAAGAUAUUCAACGUGUCGACCGCCCAGCCUGCUGCAGUCUGAUCAACUGCAGCAAGGUUUCUUCACCAUCUGCGUGAACUUCGAGCAGCGCACACGGAUUACAGAUAAGCGUUCCUUUCCACACAAGGAGCCGAAAGGAAACUACUUUUGAAUUUUCUGUUUAUACCAUAAGGGACGUUUGCAUUUAUUUAUAGUUAAACAUUUUCUUUAAUACCUAAAAGGACUUUUUCUUACUUUAACAAACUCACUGAACUGCACUGAUUGAAUUGCACUUGCUCUUGAAGGGUGAUUGAUUGAUACUGGGAAAGUGUGUAUUUGUCAUUGUUACAAUUAUACUGCCUUACAUACACCACAUCCAUACAUCAUACAUUGCCACACUUUACUAAUAACUACACACAUUUAUUUUCUUUCAUUUACUAAACUAAGGGAAACUGUACAAAAUAAAGUGCUUAUAGUUGCCAUA